CCUACGGGUGGCAGCAGUGGGGAAUAUUGGACAAUGGGGGGAACCCUGAUCCAGCCAUGCCGCGUGUGUGAAGAAGGCCCUCGGGUUGUAAAGCACUUUCAGUGAGGAAGAACGCCUGGUGGUUAAUACCCAUCAGGAAAGACAUCACUCACAGAAGAAGCACCGGCUAACUCCGUGCCAGCAGCCGCGGUAAUACGGAGGGUGCGAGCGUUAAUCGGAAUUACUGGGCGUAAAGCGCGCGUAGGUGGCUUGAUAAGCCGGUUGUGAAAGCCCCGGGCUCAACCUGGGAACGGCAUCCGGAACUGUCAAGCUAGAGUGCAGGAGAGGAAGGUAGAAUUCCCGGUGUAGCGGUGAAAUGCGUAGAGAUCGGGAGGAAUACCAGUGGCGAAGGCGGCCUUCUGGACUGACACUGACACUGAGGUGCGAAAGCGUGGGUAGCAAACAGGAAUAGAUACCCUGGUAGUC
rnacentral:rRNA from 1 species